AGUUUAAAAGUUUUAAAUUAUCAUUUUGAUUUUUCUCAAUGUCACUAGUACAUGUAUCAAGGGUAGCAACGAUGUCAGAUUUUGUCGCCAUAUUUCAAUGUCGUUCUCUGCUUUACAUUCAUCCGGGUCAAUUUUCCUUUUAACCAUAUAAACACCAAGAAGCCCAUGGGUCACAUCGCUCACAUGAGCCACAUUGGCCCUCCUGUUGUUUAGCUAUUUAUUAUUUUUAAAAAAUUUUUUGCAAACUCUUUUUCCAUAUUCACAUAAUCAUCAGUAAUAGUAAUGAAGAUACAUAUUAAUCAUUUUAUACAUUCUAACACCAUCUCACACUCUUUCACACUACUAAUUCAGCAUUAUUGGUUGAAUACUUUUUAUUGUAGGUUAGAGAUCAAAAACACUUUUCCAGUUUUCUCAAAGUCUGUCAAAUUUCAAAACUUCACAUGAUUUAAUUGCUACAAAUUUUUCAACUUUGUAUUAAAAAAAAAAAAAAGAUCAUGUAUCAGCCCAGUAAUAUGAGGAAUUUUGUUUUGUUUUGAACAAUUGAAAAUAUAUUGUUUGGUAUUACAGAAUUAUGAAAUUUAACAACUUUAUUACACAAACUGAGAGGAGUUUCACCAAAAAUAACAUUAAUAACAUUAAAACCAAUUCUUUUUUAUGUUUUUUUUUCUCUGAAAAUAUGAAUGCUAAGAUUAUUCCAAAGUGAUAAAGUAUAAGAACAAGAUAUAAACAUCUGUUGCAUUUUUUCAACAUUUUCUUUACAAAACGAACAACAGUCAUCUGAAUUUUUUUUUUUUUUUUUUUUUUUUGAUUUUCUUGAGGUAAUAAUUCGUAGGAAGAAGCUUGUAAAGAAUUCGGUACUGCAACCAUUGAACAUGGGUACCAAUACUUGUUUUAAAACAAACUUUAAACAACUCUUUGACAGAAAUAUUGCCUUCUAAAUGUAUAGAUAAUUCAGUGUUCCAUGUUUGAAUUGAUUUGAGUAUGAGAUCAUUACUAUCUAUCAUAUCAUAUAACACUUUGGAACAUUUAUCAAUCAACAGUAUAAAUUCAAAGUAAAAAGGAAUAAAUGGUGUACAAUUUUUUUUAACAUCUGAUCUCCUAACAGACAAUGAUUAUUUUUGCAAUCUUUAUUCCCAUGAUUUUUCGACCGCAUAUUGUUGCCCAUUCCUAGCCCCAUAGUGUUUCAAUAUAGCCAUAACAAUGUCAAAAGAUAAAAACAAUCAUCGUGUGAAAUGUAAUUCUUUGUCAUAAGGAAUUUAAAUACAAAAUAUGAAAACCCCACCUUAAAACAGUUAAGAUAUUAUUGCCUACGGUCAGUUUUGUUAAAAGUAGGUCAAAUUUCGAGGUCACGAUUACAAAAUAUAAAUAAAUUGGUAUCAAAAGGAAGAAAUUGUCACAAGGAAUGCGUACACGAAAUAUAAAAGAUGCAUCUCUCACCACCCGAAAUUUCAAAGCAAGGUUUAAGAUGCAAGGUGAAGAUAACGAAAAGUGAUCAAUCUCCUAUCAGCAAUACAAAAUCGAUAGUUGGGCAAACACGAACCCCUGGACACACCAGAGGUGGGACCAGGUGCCUAGGAGGAGUAAGUACCCCCUGUUGACCGGUCACACCCGCCGUGAGCCCUAUAUCCUCAUCAGGUAAACGGAGUUAUCCGCAGUCAAAAUCAUUGUGCCAAGAAUGGCUUAACAAUCGGUAUGAAACACGUCAGACAGCAUUUGACCCAAUGAUAGGUUGUAUUGACGAACUAGAUCGUUAUAACGACCAUAUAAUUUGCGAAAUGCUGACUUCAAUCGAGACUGUUGAAACCCCUGUACCAUCAACUUGUUUGUCAGUAGCUUACCUUGAUUUGAAAACUGACUAUACGCAGAACAAGCUCUUGCAUAUCAAAUCAGUUGAGAUAUAUAAACACCAUAUGCAGGUGAUAAUGGAAUAUUGCUACAUAAAUGUGAGAAGUUGACGAUGGAGAAGCUGAAAUCAUCCCGCUUGUCAUACAGUUGAGUUGUCAGUUUGCCGUUAAUGUCUACUUUCAAAAAAUAUCUAAAUAUGAAGCAGAAGUGGACGACUCUGUGGUGUCUUUUAUUUCUAGCUCACAGGAAUAUAUCAAAUCGACAUAUGAAUGAAAUUUAUCAUUGUUAAUAGACAAAAGGUCGUCAAUAUAUCUAAAUGUCGAAUUGAAGGACAAAGCGAGAUAUAUCUUCUUCUCGUGUAUAGGUUUUUGAAUAAAUUCUGCUUCAUAUGAAUAUAGAAACAGGUCAGCUAGCAAAGGACCACAAUUCGUGCCCAUGGGAGUUUCAGCAGACUGUUGGAAGACCUAAUCACCAAAGACCACGAAGAUAUUGUCAAUAAGGAACUCUAGCAUAUGUUGUAUUUCAACUUCAGGGUACUUGUGCUUGGAAUCAGAGUGGUGUUUAGCAAAGUAAGUUUUUGGAUGACUGAACACUAGAUAGGAAUAUUUCCUUUUUCUAUUGAAGCAAAUGUUUAUGAUGUCAAAAAUUAUAGUCUUUAAUUCAUCGUGAAGAAUGGUCGGGUAUAGUGUUGAAAAGUCACAGGGUUUAAUGUUAUUGAUUUGGGAAAAGUUUUGCGAUUUCAAGUUUACUAAAAGUUCUUUAGAAACUUUUAGAAUCCACAUUUGAUUAACACCACUUCUGGCAUAUGUAGUCGCACAGUAAGUUUGAAGUUUCUCCUUCACAGCUGUUGAUAUUUUCGUGAGGAGCAAAGAUAAGGGCUUGGUUAGGCGCUUACUGGAUCCAGCAAUAUAUCUUUGUAAGGGUUUUUAUGUAGUUUAGGAAUCCAGUAUAGGUACGGUAACUCAUAUUCAUUCGACCCAUUGACAGGGAUAUUAAAUGUGUCUAAAACUGAAGCAGGUUUUUGAAGAAUUUCCUGUUUUGAAAGGGAAGUUGGAGCAUGAGUACGAUUACCAAAAGUGGAAUUAAUGCCAAGUUCGUUUAAAAUACAGUUGUUAUAAUGAGCCUUACAAACAAAGACAAUGAUGUUUCUAGCUUUGUCAGCUGGAACCAAAGCAUAUUCCUCAUGCAACUUAUUCAAUUUUUUUUAUCACUUCUGGUUUACUAAACACAGAAGGAUAGAUGGUACGUACUUUUAUUUUAAUAUGUCUAAUGCGCGAUGUUAAUAUUCCUCUCAUGCUCUUAACGCAUUCUGACAAUGUAUCAACUUCUUCUUUAUCAUAUUUAGUUCAUCGUCUGGCACAAUCUUCGACAGAAUUCAUAAUAGAUGAAGUUCUGUCGCCAAUUAAAAGACCGAGGUUCUCUGUAUUCAGGACCUUUUAGAAUAAGUGAUUUGAUGUCCUCAUUUUCAACUAUAUCAAUAUCACAAGUAAUGACAUGUCCAGCUCGACUGUAGUUGAAAGAAGAUGAAGAACAAGAGCACGUUGGUGGAUUACGUAUACGAUAGUCUAUAUAUAGGCACUGCGAAGUUUGCUUAUAAUUAAAAAGUUUGGAUGCAAUAGUAGAAGUAUAGCUGUAGGAGAAACUAACAUCAUCACGUUUGUCAUACAGUUGAGGUUUCUGCCACCAGUCAGAACUAAUAGGAAGGUCAUCCGAAAUCUAACACUACAACAUAUGUAUUUCCCAAGUUAUUAUCUAGGCUGGAGUACACAUGAUCAAAAAGCAUACACAUGUAUCUACACCCCUCCUAAGCUCCGGAACCGGAAGCAGGGAUAAUCAUUCUAGAAUGAUACGGAUACGGGGGUUUGUGUUUAAGAUUUUUAUGUUGUGUUAUUAGUUCCGCCCUGGGGUCUCAUCCUCUAAAUCACAGGCAAUAAACUUUACGAUAAACCAAAAAUUGAGUUUUAAAGAUUCUGACAAUUUCUUUUCCAGGUUGCAUCCCUGCCAUUAGGGGAUAGGAAACAUGAAAUUCAUCGUUUUUGUUCCCAUUCACCCUGAAAUGAUCUACGGUGUACACUACUUUGGGGGGGGGGGGGGGGGGGGAGUUUGCCCUAUAUAUAAUUACGCUAGAGAAAUGACUAAUAUUCAAAAGUUUACAAAUGAUGGAUUACAAAUGAUCGCAUUCAGGGUGAAUCAAGUGAAAGAAAACGAUUUAUUUCAUUUCACAGACAAUACUUGUCUAGUAAUAAAACUAAAAUACAAAUAGAUAAAUAGCAUGAUCCGCUCCACAGUCACAAACCUGGAUCACCCGGGCACGUGUGUACAUCUCCCUCCAUUCACGCAGCAGUGUCACUUGUGUCCGGGGCCACGGCAAACAUCGUGGGAACCUGGACCCAAUUUAUGUACAAUGAAGCCCCGGAGAAAUAGGCGCUGCAGCUCACUGCAGCAUACCCGCCAGAUCCAGCCAUUUCUGUUGGUCCAUAAUGCACGUUGAUAUCUAGUGGAGCGUUUUAAUUUUAAAGUGUGGCCUCGAUACUUCGUUAUCGCUAGUGUAUGAAAAGAUAACUCUAAUGUUUGUACUAGCUUUAAUGAAAUGAGGGACCCCUAAUCCCAAUCUAAUUAAAACCAGACCUCCUCUAACCGUUACACUCACCAUUGCGUUUGCUGAGAAGAGACAACGUAAUUUUGCCCUUAAAUUGUCACACUGGACAAAAACUACCAUUAUAAACACAUUUGCAGGAAAGACCGUUCGUUUUGUCUUUGGUCAACUAUUCGGCAUGGCGAAUUACAAAUGCAUACGUACAAACAUUAUCUAAAUACUGAAAAAGAUCAUUUAUGUUACAUAUGGAAAAUUUAUUUUCGGGCUCCAUGUAACUUCCUAAUAAUCAAGUUUUAUUUAUCAUAUAUGAUAUCAAUAAAUAUAGUAUAACUAAGGCACGCAAUUAUUAUAAAAAAUUGUUCAUUCAAUUUAUGUGCGCAACAAUUCAAACACGCAUUUACCAAAAAGUCCUUCCUCUAUGCAAUAUCAUUUAAUUGGACUUUCCCGCGCUUGCGCAGUGUUUCAUAAAGUAAUAAAUAAAACUGAGGAUAUAACGAAUCACUUUGCCAUUUCUAUGAACGGUAAACGAGUACGAUAUAGACGAGUUUGAAAGGGAAAAUUUGAAAGGGUGGGGUAGUAAAAAUAAAAAAAGAGGAACUACUGUAUGAAUACACAUUCAACAUACAGAAAGGUAUAUUUGAUAUUCUACAAAAUAAGCCGGCAUCGGGAUCGAUCGUCUAAUGUGUAGAGGUAUCGCACCGGUAAUUGUCCAAUCAAAAUGAACCUAGUCAAUUGUAGUUAGAUAUAUUUAAAAGAAUGAUUUUUCCCCCUACGUAAUUCUUCUCAUUUCCUCUUCUUCUUUUCUCUUAAUUUUUGUACCCCUGAUUAGGAAAUUUUGUGUAAUUUUCAGAAAUAAUCAGCUGUAUACAAAGGAACUAUUUGAUGUUGGUAGCUGAGUCUACUUCCUGGGGUGAACUCAGGGUAUUUACAUACAUGUGAAAAACAUGUGGAUUUGAGGAUAGUCUUAAAUUGUUUGCUGGUAAAUUCUUUUGAAAAUCCUACGUAGGAUGUUGUUUUUGCGGUGUCGGCAGACAAGACGGGCAACAUUGAGCAUUUCUGAAUGCGUUAUUCGGCAUCAGCGCGUUAUUUGGCAUCAAUUUUAACAAGUGAUGAAUUACAACUUUCUCUAACAAUUCAUUCCAAAGAUGUUAUGAUAUCCUUCCUUAGAGAUCAAGUGCAAGGGUGGGGUUGAAGAGGGGGGGGGGGGUCACAAUUCAUAAUUUUUGCCAUUAUGCAUUGUUACGCCAAGACUGUGGAAAGACUUGAUGUGCAAAAAUAAUUUUCAAAAAUGACCAAUUAAGCCGGUAUGGGGUUAUUUGAGUUUUUUAGUUGAAUAUACAAAAAUCAUGACCAUGCCAAAAAAUUCCGUCCGGUCUUGAAUUCGUUGGCUUCAAUAGGACCAUAUUACAUACUGAUUAAUAGAGCCGUCGCUUAUUUCUUAAUUGCGGUCACUGAUUUAUAUCGGUUUUUCUACACCGGAGAUUUUGCUAGGAAUUUCUUGGCAUGAACUUGUAUUCAACAAAUCAUGUCCCAGUUGACAACUCAACGGUAUGACAAACGGGAUGAUUUCAGCUUUUCCAUCGUCAAAUUCCCAUAUUUUUGUACCAAUAUUCCACUAUCACCUGCAUAUGGUGUAUAUAUCUCUCAACUGAUUCGAUACACAAGAGCUUGCUCUGCGUAUAGUCAGUUUUUAAAUUGAGGCAAGCUACUGACAAACAAAUUGAUGGUACAGGGGUAUUAACAGUCUCGAUUGAAGUAAGCAUUUCGCAAAUUCUAUGGUCGUUAUAACGAUAGAAUUUAACUAAGGUCUAAACACAUCUUUAAUAAAUUGAUACUUUGUCAAUACAACCUAGCAUUGGGUCAAAUGAUGUCUGACGUGUUUCAUACCGAUUGUUAGGCCGUUCUUGGCACACUGAUGUUGACUACGAAUAACUCCGUUUACCUGAUCAGGAUAUAGGGCUCACGGCGGUUGUGACCCGUCCACAGGGGAUGCUUACUCCUCCUAGGCACUUGAUCCACCUCUAGUGUGUACAGGGGUCCGUGUUUGCACGACUAUCUAUUUUGUAUUGCUUAUAUGAGUUAUGAGAUUGAUCACUGUUCGUUAUCUUCGCAUUUCAUUAGUGAAUGAGGUAAACACAAGAACUACAAGACUGAGAUCAAAUAAUUUUAUUUAUGUUAUAAGAGCCAAAACAGAAUAUUUUAGAAGAUCUUUUAUCAUUUCAGAAGGAGUUUGAUGGAACUCAUUACCAGAUUUUCUUAGAAAAUGCACAACUACCACAUCUGUUAAAUCAGCUUCAAACAUUAUUUUAAUCCUCAAUAAUACUCAUGUGUCUAUGGUCUCUUUUCAUGUAGUACUUAUCUGUAUGUAUAUAAACUGUGAUAUUUCCAUGUUUUGUGAUAGGUGUUCUCGAUAUGUAUAUACUCGUAUGUUAUAGACAGGACCACAAUGUAAACUAGUUUAUAUAUAUAAUUGCACAAUCCUGUAUAAAUAAAGGAUAUCAUUAUUUGCUAGAAUACCUACUUUUUAUUUAACCCUUUCUCUACCGUAUCGGUCAAUAUGACCGAUAGCGCGUAAAAACAGGGCUACGCAAAAGGAGUGUCUAUAAAUCUUUGAAACUACGGACGUAAUAUAUAUGUUUUAUAUAUCAUAUUUUUGGAAAUUUUCUAUAUUUUUUAACUAUGCAAAAAUCAAUUGAAUAAAUAAAGCCAUUAAAUUUAAAAAAGCAUUUAAAAUGAAGGAUGACUUCGUCUAAAUAUGACGCAACGCUUUGUCGCAAGGCCAUUUCCCCCCUCGCUAUGAUUUUUUUUAUUUUCCCUAUGAAUGCAAUAUUUUUUAUAUUUUUGAGAAGCAUAUAUUCCCUGCUUUCAGUACAUAUAAAAAUUGUUUUUGAUGGCUGGCAAAGUUAUAAGAAAAUAGUAAUUUUUUUGCACAUAUACGUUGUUUUACGAUUUUAUUUCGCAAUGUUUAAACAGAUCGGCGUUUUAUCUAUAUUUAUAUAUGGAAAUAGUGGAAAGUAAAUACAUCCUGUAAAAGUAGAGGAAAUGUUCUUUUUGAUGGACCCUUAUUCAUAUUACAAUUCUCGGUAGUUUUUAUAUUACGAUAAAAUGAAAUUGGGACAUGCUGCGCGGUUUUCUUAAAAAUUAGCGACAAAUCGACGUCGCUAAAAGCAAUCGACGCGCGUCGCACAAUAAAGUGGUGAAAACUAUUUGUAUUGUCCUCUUUUAGUAAAUUCAGUACCUGUUGAUACACUAAAACAACAUACAUACAUGUAUGAAAUAAUCAGCCAGGUAUCUCUGCUUUUUUUUUUAAAGCAUAAAACCAAUAUUGGUUUAUAACAGUUACACAACCUACAUGUAACUUCAUAAAACACCUAUUGAGAAUAUUACAUCGGCAGAUUGAAUUUAAAAAAAGAUAAAUAAAGUACUUCAAAUUCAGAUAUAAACGUUAUAUUUGUUCGGAAUAGAAAUAAUUUUUUUCUCUGCCAAAGAAAGAAAACAAAGAAGAAGUUCGCCUAUAUAUAACCUGUAUACUUUUAUUUUUCCGUGAUCCGGAUCGCGGGCCUCGCGGGGUUUUCUGAAAGUGUGCACGGAGAAUGACACGUGUUUCCGUUUCAACGAAAACAACACAGCUUCACCGUGACUGUCACAACCAACGCUUGUAUUUUACAUCUUUAAAACGACCUAAUGUCAGAAGAAGAUGCCCUGGAUCGCCUGUUGCAGGAUGACCCAAACGAUCAUGCAUUCAGUAUAAAUACGUACAUGUAAGUUGAUGUAGCCACAUAGGCCGACUAAAAAGAAAACAAAAAUGUGGUUUUGUCAUGUUAUGAAAAAUUCACGAUUAAUUAACCGCAAUUUGAUGCCAUGGUUUGUCGUUUCAUGAAAGCAAAUAUUUAUAUUUUAUGAUAUCUAAAACAAGUGAAUAACACCCUGUCCGGGUCCGGCAGUUUGAUUACCCCCCCCCCCCCCUUUUUCCCCAGAAUUAUCUCCUUACGUGACGCGCGAGUGUAAGAAGGGGGUGUAUUUAGUGUAUAAUGGGAUGGGGUGGUUUUAAUCAGACUGGGCAUUCACGACCGCUGGUGAGAAGGCUAUUUUCCAAGUUUUUUCCAUGUUUAUAAAAGAAAUUAUCUUUCUAUGAAAAGAAAACACAAUCUGUUAGGAAAACACACUUAUGAUAGAAUUUAUUAUCAUAAUUUGAAUUAUUUUCUUUAUUCUGUAACAGAAAUAAAAACAAAAUGUGUGUUUGGGCCAAAAUGGGGGUGGGUUAACAUCAAUCAAAGUCUGAUUAUGACAGGCUAAUGAAAAAUCAUAUUGAUUUCUCUUUUAUCCAAAUGCAUGUAUUUUAUAUACACUUAGUAGCUUAUGACCAUAAAUUAAAUGUGAUCCAUACAUGCUGGUACUUGUAUGCUAUGAGCUGAUGGGCAUGUGUUCCCUUCUUGCCCACAGGGGCUCGGUUGUCAGAUAUUGAAGUUUUGUAUUAUUUGUUCCCGAAUAAUAAAUUGAAGUUUUGCAUCAUUUGUGUCCGAAUAAUAAAUUAUAUAAAUGCAAGGUGAAGAUAACGAACAGUGAUCAAUCUCAUAACUCCUACAAGCAAUACAAAAUAGAUAGUUGGGCAAACACGGACCCCUGGACACACCAGAGGUGGGAUCAUGUGCCUAGGAGGAGUAAGUAUCCCCUGUUGACCGGUCACACCCGCCGUGAGCCCCAUAUCAUGAUCAGGUAAACGGAGUUAUCCGCAGUCAAAUCAGUGUGCCAAGUACUUUAAUGUACACAUGAUACACCUUUUUGAAAACCUCUAAAAAAGCGGAUUUUGGUGGAUGAUUUUAUUUAUAUAAUUUAUUAUUCGGACACAAAUCAUGCAAAACUUCAAUUUAUUAUUCGGGAACAAAUAAUACAAAACUUCAAUAUCUGACAACCGAGCCCCUGUGUUCUUGCCGGUCUCCUCCGUGGCCGAGUGGUUAGAGCAUUGCGCUCAAAAUCACACGGCCUCUCAUCUCUGUAGGCGCGAGUUCGAAUCCCAUUCGUGCCGGUAAGUGAGAAAGUUUUCCCAGUUUACUUUCGAAAGAUCGGUGGUCUCUCCCCAGGUAUCUGGGUUCUCUCUUCCACCAAUAAAAAAAACUUGGUGCCACCAGAUAACUGAAAAAUUGUUGAGUUUGGCAGAAAACAUCAAUCAAUCAAUCCCCUUCUUGCCUAGCAGAGUACCAUACAAGGGGAUUUAGACACUGGGUACCUUUAAGAAGCAAUUCAAUUCAACUUUUAUAUCUGGGGUCAUUCACUUUCCCUCAGAGUUUCAGUAUUUUCGCUGGACCCUGUAGGUUUUAACCUGAAUUUCUUCAGUAUUUGCCCUCGUGUAUAAUAUAUGCUAGGCAUAAUGCAGAUACCUACAUGAUACAUUUUUUGUUCAUUACCCACUCUGCUACUCUCGCAAUGUAUAAUAAAAUAUUCGAUUCAUUUCUAACACAUGUAUGCAAUCCCUUACCAUAUCUUUAAAUAAAUUUGAGUAAAUAAAUUUAAGUGCGAAACUGUUUCAUGCUACCGUGAAACUUAGAUUUUGCUUUUUAAACAUAAACCAACAAUUCUUAAUUGUGAUUUCUUUUCUUUUUUAAAAAGGGUAUUGACAUCCCAAUAUUUAGUGGGAAGUUCCCAGGUAUCAUCCGCUAGCGACAGUCUACUGACAAAUCCAGACAUGCAUUGGAAGGAUGCUGAUAUGGAGGACACAUGAACACCUGAUCCCAGAACUGUGGCAUUUCAUUCGGGGUGACAACCUGGCUUUCAGUUGGUAUGACUCUUUGAGGUUGAAUAUAGGGUUAAAUCAGUGUAAAUUUGAUUAACAUUCAAAUAAAUCCAGAUAAUACAUUCACAAUUGGAAUCAUGGCAUUAUGGUACACUGAUAUGUGUGUACCAUUUUACUGUUUUUUUUUUUUUUUUGUGGGUUUUUUUUUUUUUUUUUUUUUUUUUUGCUGCAUAACUAGGGAUCGUAUACAUACAAAAUGAGACAAAACAAUUUCUAAUUAGUUUCUAAUUAUAAGGUAUGACACGUUUUAAGGUAUGGUGGCCAAUACUGAUUUUAUUUGCAAUUUUCUUUCAGAUAUGGGACCCUAUUAUUCGGAGAACUGCAGAUUUUAUGAAGCUGUCUUUGACAGAAGAUUUGGUUUUCUCCAUCUGUGUUGCCAACAACCAUUAUGCUGAGAUGGUCACAUCUAGGGGGAAGGGUUGCCAUAUACUUCCCAAGGAAGUUUGCAGCCUCUCACUGAAGAGGAACUGUACAGAUUUUUGUGCAUUAUCUUAUACACGCCUGCUGUGAAGUUCCAGUCGAUAGACAGAUAUUGGUCAACGCAUGUCCCUGUCGGAACAACUCGUUAUCAAGAAUUAUGUCUAGAAAUAGGUUUCAAGAGGUUGAAUAUAAGAACAUUUUUGUUAAAUAUGAUGCAAGUACAUUUAAAUCUAGUGAUUGAAAGUAAGUACUUGAACAUUCGCUUAUGUUGAACUUGGAGAGGAAAAAUGGUUAGUACUUUUUGAUAACAUUUGAUAAGGUGUUGUUGCUUAGCAACCAAAUAUAACUGAAUAAAAAAUAGAUUAUUUUAGAUUAACAAUAAUUGAAAGAUCUUUGUUUUAAUGUUGCAAUACUUAUUCUAUUUAAUGGAACAUAAUGGCAAAACGUCAUAUUAUUAGAAAAUGAUGGACAAGUAUAUAAAGUACGAAGUUUCCAUUUGAUGACCUUUGACCUUAAUUCUCUUCAUACAUUUUUUGUUAAAAACCUUUUAAAAUGAUUAAGAUCUAUUUAAAGAUUAUAUUUUAAGAUAAUGUGACAUUUACUAAUCAUCAUGGAUUGUAAUUACGUUUAAAUUGUGUCGAAUGGAUGCAGAAAGGCAAAUUAUGGUCAAAAUUGUACUAUGAGUGUUGUUACUUAGCAACCAAAAAUAUUUGUUUGUCAAUAAAAUUGAUUAGUUUGA